rnacentral:rRNA from 1 species
UGCUUAAUACAUGCAAGUCGUGCGAGAAAGCCGUUUUCGGAUGGUGAGUAGAGCGGCGAACGGGUGAGUAACACGUAAGCAACCUGCCCUUAAAUCUGGGAUAACCUUGCUAACGCGGGGCUAAUACCGGAUGUGAUCAGUGGAUUGCAUAUUCUAUUGAUUAAAGGUGACCUCUAUUUAUAAGUUAUCGUUUAAGGAGGGGCUUGCGGACCAUUAGUUUGUUGGUGGGGUAACGGCCUACCAAGACAUCGAUGGUUAGCCGACCUGAGAGGGUGAUCGGCCACAUUGGGACUGAGAUACGGCCCAGACUCCUACGGGAGGCAGCAGUAGGGAAUUUUGCGCAAUGGACGAAAGUCUGACGCAGCAACUCCGCGUGAGGGAUGACGGUCUUCGGGUUGUAAACCUCUGUUGUGUAGGAAGAAGAGUUUAGUAGUUAAUACCUGCUAGAUGUGACGGUACUACACUAGAAAGCUCCGGCUAACUACGUGCCAGCAGCCGCGGUAAUACGUAGGGAGCGAGCGUUGUUCGGAUUUACUGGGCGUAAAGCGAGCGUAGGUGGGAAAGUAAGUUAGAAGUGAAAUGUAUCGGCUCAACCGAUGAACUGCUUUUAAUACUGCUUUUCUUGAAUAUAGGAGGGGAGAAUGGAAUUCCUGGUGUAGCGGUGGAAUGCGUAGAUAUCAGGAAGAACACCGAUGGCGAAGGCAGUUCUCUGGACUAAUAUUGACACUGAUGCUCGAAAGCUAGGGGAGCGAACAGGAUUAGAUACCCUGGUAGUCCUAGCCGUAAACGAUGGACACUAGAUGUUCGGUGCCUUGUGCUUCGGUAUCGUAGCUAACGCGUUAAGUAUCCCGCCUGGGGAGUACGCUCGCAAGAGUGAAACUCAAAGGAAUUGACGGGGGCCCGCACAAGCGGUGGAGCAUGUGCUUUAAUUCGAUGCAACGCGAAGAACCUUACCUGGUCUUGACAUGGGAAUGCCGUCUUUAGGAGACUAGAGAUUUUCCUUCGGGAACAUUCUACACAGGUGCUGCAUGGUUGUCGUCAGCUCGUGUCGUGAGAUGUUGGGUUAAGUCCCGCAACGAGCGCAACCCCUAUCCUUAGUUGCCAUCAGGUUAUGCUGGGAACUCUAGGGAGACUGCCUGGAUUAACCAGGAGGAAGGUGGGGAUGACGUCAAAUCAUCAUGGCCCUUACGGCCAGGGCUA